rnacentral:rRNA from 1 species
AUGCAGUCGAGCGGCAGCGACUUAACUGAACCUUCGGGGAACGUUAAGGGCGGCGAGCGGCGGACGGGUGAGUAAUGCCUGGGAAUAUGCCCUGAUGUGGGGGAUAACUAUUGGAAACGAUAGCUAAUACCGCAUAAUCUCUUCGGAGCAAAGAGGGGGACCUUCGGGCCUCUCGCGUCAGGAUUAGCCCAGGUGGGAUUAGCUUGUUGGUGAGGUAAUGGCUCACCAAGGCAACGAUCCCUAGCUGGUCUGAGAGGAUGAUCAGCCACACUGGAACUGAGACACGGUCCAGACUCCUACGGGAGGCAGCAGUGGGGAAUAUUGCACAAUGGGGGAAACCCUGAUGCAGCCAUGCCGCGUGUGUGAAGAAGGCCUUCGGGUUGUAAAGCACUUUCAGUAGGGAGGAAGGUAGUGUAGUUAACACCUGCAUUAUUUGACGUUACCUACAGAAGAAGCACCGGCUAACUCCGUGCCAGCAGCCGCGGUAAUACGGAGGGUGCGAGCGUUAAUCGGAAUUACUGGGCGUAAAGCGCAUGCAGG